UAUGGUAGUGCCAGCAGCCGCGGUAAUACGUAGGGGGCAAGCGUUAUCCGGAUUUACUGGGUGUAAAGGGAGCGUAGACGGCACGGCAAGCCAGAUGUGAAAGCCCGGGGCUCAACCCCGGGACUGCAUUUGGAACUGCUGAGCUAGAGUGUCGGAGAGGCAAGUGGAAUUCCUAGUGUAGCGGUGAAAUGCGUAGAUAUUAGGAGGAACACCAGUGGCGAAGGCGGCUUGCUGGACGAUGACUGACGUUGAGGCUCGAAAGCGUGGGGAGCAAACAGG
rnacentral:rRNA from 1 species